rnacentral:tRNA from 1 species
UUCUUAUUAGCUCAAUGGUAGAGCAGGAUACUUCUAAUAUUCUGAUCUUGGUUCGAAUCCGAGAUAGGAAU